GCGUACUUUGGUCACUUUCCGUAUUACUUUGCAAAUCCCUUUCGGGGCAAAGUGCCCCCAGGUGCCCACAUUUGAAUUGGGGACACCUGGGGUCACCUCGGGGCACUUGCAUUUCGGGGCACGGGGCACCUAGGGGCACUUGGAAACUGCAGUACCCGCCUUUGGACGCUAGAGACCGCUGCAGACCACGCCCCGGUAGGGCGGCUCCUGUCGGGGCACUUCCCCACCGUUCGGGGCCACACUUUGGGGGCAGUGCUGGAGACAUUUCGGGAUACCCCCUGCCGGAGCCUUUUCUGGGACUUGGUGCGAGAUGCUCCGCCUGACCUCUGGAGGUCCACAAGGGGCACUUUUUCACACUUUGGGACUUGCUGAGAGAUGCUUUUCCUGACCUCUGGAGGUCCACAUGGGGCACUUUUUCACACUUUGGGACACUUUGUCGGACUUGGUGCGAGAUGCUUUUCCUGACCUCUGGAGGUCCCUAAGGGGGCACUUUUUCACAUUUUGGGACACUUUGUGGGACUUGGUGCGAGAUGCUUUUCCUGACCUCUGGAGGUCCACAAGGGGCACUUUUUCACACUUUGGGAAACUUUGUCGGACUUUGCUGGGACUUGGUGCGAGAUGCUUUUCCUGACCUCUGGAGUGUCCCUAAGGGGGUACUAUUUCACAUUUUGGGACACUUUGUCGGACUUUGCUGGGACUUGGUGCAAGAUGCUCUGCGUGCCCUCCGGAUGUCCAGAAGGGGCACUUUUUCACAUUUUGGGACUUUUUUUUUAAUUUUGGGGGUCUGUCACGAAAAUCUACCAGGAGCAAGUUUUCGGGAUACUUUUUCACAUUUUAGGGCACCCCUGGAGGAAUCAAAGACUUGUACAAUUUCCCCGAUCUGGGUGACCUCCUGAGAUCCGAAAGGGGCACUUUUUCACAUUUUGGGGCACAUAGUCAGACAUUGCUGGGACUUGGUGCAAGAUGCUCUGCGUGCCCUCCGGAGAUCCAUAAGGGGCACUUUUUCCACAUUUUGGGGCUUUGUUAAUUUUUGG